UUCUUCCUUCUGGUGGGUUCGUGGUCUCGCUGGCUUCAGGAGUGAAGCUGCAGACGUUCAAGAUAAGGAAGGCAGCAAGGGACUGGAGAGGUGAAAUAAUUUGCUCAAGGUCGCAGCAGGCGCUGCUGAGUUCACACCUUUCUUCCGUCUGAGUGAGUUGCUACCUCAGAAGCUUUCCCGAGCAGCUGGGCGGCGGCGGUGGCUACUGGGCGGUAGUGGUGCUGUUUGUCAUCGGGCUCUUCGCGG